rnacentral:rRNA from 1 species
AGCCCUAAGUGGGUGGUAAACUCCAUCUAAGGCUAAAUAUGACCACGAGACCGAUAGCGAACAAGUACCGUGAGGGAAAGUUGAAAAGCACUUUGAAGAGAGAGUUCAAGAGUACGUGAAACCGUUUAGGGGUAAACCUGAGAAACCCGAAAGGUCGAAGGGAGAAAUUCAUUCGCGUUUCGCGAUCGGCAUUAGGUUCGAGAGUGACGGGGAGCGUUUCGGCGCUGUUCCGCGCCACGAGCUUAACGAUCCGGCCGCGAACGCGUGCACUUUUCUCCUGGUAGGACGUCGCGAUCCGUUGAGUGUCGGUCUACGGCUGACGGUGGAGCCCGAGAGUACGAUUCGCGUCGUUGCUUUCGGACCCGUCUGUCCCGGCCGGCUCGCUCGACGGUACGCAAACGGUUUUAGGCCGCUCUUUCGAGCGUUCGACUCGCGGCAAGCGCGCCAUUCGUUGUCGGUGCGCGGACUUAGCGCCGCGCCUGACCUUUGGUGACUGUUGGCCGCGAUGUUCUCGAACAGACCUUUUACCGAUCGGCGACGCUAUAGCUUUGGGUACUUUCAG